AACCUACGGGUGGCUGCAGUGAGGAAUAUUGCGCAAUGGAGGCAACUCUGACGCAGCCAUGCCGCGUGCAGGAAGAAGGCGCUACGCGUUGUAAACUGCUUUUAACCGGGAAGAAACCCCAGGACGUGUCCUGGGUUGACGGUACCGGAGGAAUAAGCACCGGCUAACUUCGUGCCAGCAGCCGCGGUAAUACGAAGGGUGCAAGCGUUAUCCGGAUUCAUUGGGUUUAAAGGGUGCGUAGGCGGGGUGGUAAGUCAGUGGUGAAAUCCUGCGGCUCAACCGUAGAAUUGCCAUUGAUACUGCCAUUCUUGAGUAGGCUCGACGUGGGCGGAAUGUGCCGUGUAGCGGUGAAAUGCUUAGAUAUGGCACAGAACACCGAUAGUGAAGACAGCUCACGAGGGCCAAACUGACGCUGAGGCACGAAAGCGUGGGGAUCGAACAGGAUUAGAUACCCGUGUAGUCA
rnacentral:rRNA from 1 species